GCGAAACUAUGAAUUUGAAAGUCAGUUGCUGUCACAAAAAGCAAACACCACUCCUUGAACAGAUGGUUGACGACCUGACAGACGCAUGAAUGCAUAGUUUGAGUCUGGUCGAUUGAAUAUUCUAUUAUACGUUCUAGAAUGCCAAUUCUUCGUGUUCUAGAAUGCUUUGUGGCCUGUUCUUUUAUGCAGAUGACGAGAUAGGUUAAUCCAAACUUGCUUGUCAAGCGAUGAAAGAUACUCGAAGAGAGUUUGCCAAUAUUUUGAGAUUUGGUCAUGAAGCGAUGUUCUUCGACGAAAAUGGGCAGUAACUAUCUCAAACCAUCACUGAUUGUUGGAAUUCUACUUUUCUGUGACCUCCUAGGAUGUGUUUUAUCAGACAAUGAAACUCUACCUCUUACUAUACAAGAUGGAUGGUAUAAAGAAAAAUUGCCAGGAGAUAUGUUAGGAGUAAGUAUUCUUUUACAAAGAGAAUGAAUAUAUAAAAAA